GGCGAUUUAGCUCAGUUGGUUAGAGCGUGUGCUUAACACUAGGACUGUCAGUCAGUCAAGCGUUGCGCACAAGGUCGGCGGUUCGACCCCGUCAAACGUCA
rnacentral:tRNA from 1 species